rnacentral:rRNA from 1 species
GCUGAAAGCAUCUAAGUGGGAAGCCCACCUCAAGAUGAGUACUCUCGUGGUGUAAACCAGUAAGGUCACGGGAAGAACACCCGUUAAUAGGCGUUAGGUGGAAGAGCAGCAAUGUUUGCAGCCGAGACGUGCUAACAGACCGAGGGCUUGACCAA